AUUCUCGUCGAGUAUAAAACCAAAGACCCAAAUCAUGUAGAGUGGGCCAAAGCUAUAAAGGAACUAUACUUACCUGGUUUGAGAGAAUAUGUUAAGAGUUUCUAUCCGUUGGGUCCAGUCUGGAGUCCAACCGGCACAGCUGUUACUGCUGCUCCAUCAAAACCAAAAGCCCCGGCACCAGGUGCACCUGCUCCUCCUCCUGCUCCAUCGGCUUCACUCUUCAGUUCUGAAACUUCUCAGGCUUCUUCAUCACGCCCAAAACAGGG
rnacentral:lncRNA from 1 species